rnacentral:rRNA from 1 species
CAUGGCUGUCGUCAGCUCGUGUCGUGAGAUGUUGGUUAAGUCCCGCAACGAGCGCAACCCUUGUCAUUAGUUGCUACAUUCAGUUGGGCACUCUAAUGAGACUGCCGGUGACAAGCCGGAGGAAGGUGGGGAUGACGUCAAGUCCUCAUGGCCCUUAUAGGUGGGGCUACACACGUCAUACAAUGGCUGGUACAAAGGGUUGCCAACCCGCGAGGGGGAGCUAAUCCCAUAAAGCCAGUCGUAGUCCGGAUCGUAGUCUGCAACUCGACUACGUGAAGUCGGAAUCGCUAGUAAUCGUGGAUCAGAAUGUCACGGUGAAUACGUUCCCGGGUCUU